UGAGUAACCUGCCCUUAACUCUGGGAUAAGCCUGGGAAACUGGGUCUAAUACCGGAUAUGACUCCUCAUCGCAUGGUGGGGGGUGGAAAGCUUUUNUGGUUUGGAUUGGA
rnacentral:rRNA from 1 species